UCCGUCCGUCCGUCUGAGCACACGAUAACUCGAGUAAAAAUUGAGAUAUCGUAACGAAACUUGGUGCGUGUACUUCUUCCUUAUAUUUAGUAACUACUGAAGA